UACGUAGGUGGCGAGCGUUGUCCGGAUUUAUUGGGUUUAAAGGGUGCGUAGGUGGUUCUUUAAGUCAGGGGUGAAAGACGGUAGCUUAACUAUCGCAGUGCCUUUGAUACUGAAGAACUUGAAUACACUAGAGGUAGGCGGAAUAUGUCAUGUAGCGGUGAAAUGCUUAGAUAUGACAUAGAACACCAAUUGCGAAGGCAGCUUACUACCCGAAUAUUGACACUGAGGCACGAAAGCGUGGGAUCAAACAGG
rnacentral:rRNA from 1 species